rnacentral:rRNA from 1 species
CGGGUGAGUAACGCGUAGGAACCUGUCGCACAGAGGGGGAUAACGCUGGGAAACCGGCGCUAAUACCGCAUGUGGUUCUUGGAGGGGACUUCAAGAAAGAAAGCAGCAAUGCGCUGUGUGAGGGGCCUGCGUCCGAUUAGCUAGUUGGUGGGGUAAAGGCCUACCAAGGCAUCGAUCGGUAGCUGGUCUGAGAGGACGGUCAGCCACACUGGGACUGAGAUACGGCCCAG